UUGGUCUCUUUAUAACAUAGUCAGGUAGUAUCUUUAUAACAUAGUCAGUUGGUCUCUUUAUAACAUAGUCAGUUGGUCUCUUUAUAACAUAGUCAGUUGGUCUCUUUAUAACAUAGUCAGUUGGUCUCUUUAUAACAUAGUCAGUAUUCCCCUUUAUAACAUAGUCAGUUGGUCUCUUUAUAACAUAGUCAGUAUUCCCCUUUAUAACAUAGUCAGUAUUCCCAUUUAUAACAUAGUCAGUUGGUCUCUUUAUAACAUAGUCAGGUAGUCUCUUUAUAACAUAGUCAGUAUUCCCCUUUAUAACAUAGUCAGUUGGUCUCUUUAUAACAUAGUCAGGUAGUCUCUUUAUAACAUAGUCAGUAUUCCCCUUUAUAACAUAGUCAGUAUUCCCCUUUAUAACAUAGUCAGGUAGUAUCUUUAUAACAUAGUCAGUUGGUCUCUUUAUAACAUAGUCAGUUGGUCUCUUUAUAACAUAGUCAGUUGGUCUCUUUAUAACAUAGUCAGUUGGUCUCUUUAUAACAUAGUCAGUUGGUCUCUUUAUAACAUAGUCAGUAUUCCCCUUUAUAACAUAGUCAGUUGGUCUCUUUAUAACAUAGUCAGUAUUCCCCUUUAUAACAUAGUCAGUAUUCCCCUUUAUAACAUAGUCAGUUGGUCUCUUUAUAACAUAGUCAGUUGGUCUCUUUAUAACAUAGUCAGUAUUCCCCUUUAUAACAUAGUCAGUUGGUCUCUUUAUAACAUAGUCAGUAUUCCCCUUUAUAACAUAGUCAGUAUUCCCCUUCAUAACAUAGUCAGUUGGUCUCUUUAUAACAUAGUCAGUUGGUCUCUUUAUAACAUAGUCAGUUGGUCUCUUUAUAACAUAGUCAGUUGGUCUCUUUAUAACAUAGUCAGUUGGUCUCUUUAUAACAUAGUCAGUAUUCCCCUUUAUAACAUAGUCAGUUGGUCUCUUUAUAACAUAGUCAGUUGGUCUCUUUAUAACAUAGUCAGUAUUCCCCUUUAUAACAUAGUCAGUUGGUCUCUUUAUAACAUAGUCAGUUGGUCUCUUUAUAACAUAGUCAGUUGGUCUCUUUAUAACAUAGUCAGUUGGUCUCUUUAUAACAUAGUCAGUUGGUCUCUUUAUAACAUAGUCAGUUGGUCUCUUUAUAACAUAGUCAGUAUUCCCCUUUAUAACAUAGUCAGUUGGUCUCUUUAUAACAUAGUCAGUAUUCCCCUUUAUAACAUAGUCAGUUGGUCUCUUUAUAACAUAGUCAGUUGGUCUCUUUAUAACAUAGUCAGUUGGUCUCUUUAUAACAUAGUCAGUUGGUCUCUUUAUAACAUAGUCAGUUGGUCUCUUUAUAACAUAGUCAGUUGGUCUCUUUAUAACAUAGUCAGUUGGUCUCUUUAUAACAUAGUCAGUUGGUCUCUUCAUGACAUAGUCAGUUGGUCUCUUUAUAACAUAGUCAGUUGGUCUCUUUAUAACAUAGUCAGUUGGUCUCUUUAUAACAUAGUCAGGUAGUCUCUUUAUAACAUAGUCAGUAUUCCCCUUUAUAACAUAGUCAGUUGGUCUCUUUAUAACAUAGUCAGUUGGUCUCUUUAUAACAUAGUCAGUUGGUCUCUUUAUAACAUAGUCAGUUGGUCUCUUUAUAACAUAGUCAGGUAGUCUCUUUAUAACAUAGUCAGUAUUCCCCUUUAUAACAUAGUCAGUUGGUAUCUUUAUAACAUAGUCAGUUGGUCUCUUUAUAACAUAGUCAGUUGGUCUCUUUAUAACAUAGUCAGUUGGUCUCUUUAUAACAUAGUCAGUUGGUCUCUUUAUAACAUAGUCAGUUGGUCUCUUUAUAACAUAGUCAGUUGGUCUCUUUAUAACAUAGUCAGUAUUCCCCUUUAUAACAUAGUCAGUAUUCCCCUUUAUAACAUAGUCAGUAUUCCCCUUUAU
rnacentral:lncRNA from 1 species